rnacentral:rRNA from 1 species
UACGAAGGGGGCUAGCGUUGCUCGGAAUCACUGGGCGUAAAGCGCACGGUAGGCGGACUCUUAAGUCGGUGGUGAAAUCCUGGAGCUCAACUCCAGAACUGCCUUCGAUACUGGAAGCUCGAGUCCGGGAGAGGUGAGUGGAACUGCGAGUGUAGAGGUGAAAUUCGUAGAUAUUCGCAAGAACACCAGUGGCGAAGGCGGCUCACUGGCCCGGUACUGACGCUGAG